CGUGUAGGCGGUUAGGUAAGUGGAAUGUGAAAUCCCUCGGCUCACCCGAGGACCUGCAUCCCAAACUGCCUGACUUGAGUAUGGGAGAGGAUGAGGGAAUUCCUGGUGUAGCGGUGAAAUGCGUAGAUAUCAGGAGGAACACCGGUGGCGAAGGCGCUCAUCUGGCCCAAUACUGACGCUGAGGCGCGAAAGCUAGGGGAGCAAACGGGAUUAGAUACCCCGGUAGUCCUAGCCGUAAACGGUGAUCACUAGGUGUUGGAGGCAUCGACCCCUCCAGUGCCGCAGCUAACGCAUUAAGUGAUCCGCCUGGGGAGUACGGCCGCAAGGUUGAA
rnacentral:rRNA from 1 species